rnacentral:lncRNA from 1 species
GAUUAUCCCAUACAUCCUCGAGUAGGCGAACCCUAGAUGACUUCGAUACCAAUAUUUCCAUCGCUACGCCGCCGACUGCUUAUACCGUAGCCUGUUGGUCAACCAACACUUGGGAGCUGCUGCCCGCCUGUCCUUGAUGGCUUGGUGCUCGUUGUGUCUCCUCCGCAUCUGAAUUUGGAUAUUCACCGGCACCGCGGAUCAUCGUUGCCAGGUUUGUCAGUGCCAAUCAUGGACCAUUAAUCUGGAGUAUAUAAAGGUCCGCUGAUGGCCGCUGAUCUUGGACGAAUCUCAUCACGGGAUCAUUUCUCAAGGUAUAUACAUACCAUUAAUCUGUUCUGAUGCGGUAGUGCCUGAUGCAUUAGUUAGUUGCGUACUAAUAUGUGCUUAGUUAGAUGAUAGAUGGAGAUCUAAUUGCCUUUCUUUUACUUUAGAUAUACUCUGUUAUAGAUAGAAAAUAAAUAGAACUACUAUAACAUGAUAUUGCUUUUUCUAAAUCCACUUGCUUCAUAUUUAAACCUUUUUGCCGAAAAUUCAGGUCCACUUGAUAAUUGUAUGAUCCUGUAGAUAAUCAUAGAUCUCAAUUAAACCGAUAGUUGCAAAGCAUGCAAUGUGUUGUCAUCUUGUGGUAAACUAAUUAUUGUAAUGUCAUUUUGUGCAAACCAAGAUUAUAGCAAGUACAGUCAUUACAUAGGAUAUACUCCCUCCGUUCCUAAAUAUUUAUAUUUUUAGAUAUUUCACUACGGACUACAUACGGAUGUAUAUAGACAUAAUUUAGAGUAUAAGUUCAUCUAUUUUUUUGUCCGUAGUUUAAUAUUUAAAAAGACAAAUAUUUAGGAACGGAGGGAGUAUAUGUUAGGACACCAUUUUAUGUGAGACUUGUUUUAUAGUAUGAUCCCAUAUAUAUGUUUUUUCUAUGAUUGGUAUCUCUUUCGUCCCCCCUAUGUUCAAAUCCUGGCUCGGUCCCUGGCCGACGUCUCGGUUAUGUCGGCGGCAAGGAUCGCUGCAUAGUAGCUCGGCGGUGGCCGGUAGUGGCUCUCGUCCAGCAGCUACACGGUGCCGGCGGCGACGGCCACCAUGGCGAUGAUUACCAUGGAGGUGCAAACGUAAAUGCAGGGAUGCCACCACGGCAUGGAUUGCCUGUGUCUCCUCAAUCUAGUCUAGAGAAGUUAAUGGAAGUAGCCUUACUUUUUAUUUCGCUUGUUUGUUGCUAGGGUAGAUGUACAUAUGCAUGGCGUACAUAUGAUGAUAUGAAUCGCUCAUAUCAAUUGCUUUCCCAAUUACUGCUUCCUCCGUAUCUAAAUAAUUGUAGUUGAAAAGAAUUAGUCAUGACGUACACAUAUGAAUCGCUUAGAUCGAUUGCUUUUUCAAUUGCUUCCUCCGUAUCUAAAUAAUUAUAGUUAAAAAGAACUAAUCAGAGCGAUUCAUAUGUACGCCAUGCAUAUGUACAUCUACCCUAGCAAUGAAGAAAUGAGUUCUCUCUAACUACAAUUAUUUAGGUAAAAAAAGUACAAGGCAAUUACUGAAUGAAACGUAUGUUUGCAAAUAAAUUGCUCUGUGUCGGUCACACGCGACGUGGCUGUCAAUCUAGCUAUUUCCAUUUUGCUUUUACCAUCUUGCCAAUUGAAUAAUCCUUCUAUAUCAUAAUAUACUUCCUCCGUCUUAAAAUAAGUGUUUUAAGUUUAAUACAAUUUUAUAUCAGAGCCGCUAUAAAGUUGAGAUAGUUAUUUUGAAACGAAGGAAGUAUAAUGUUUUGGUCUGGCCCACGAACAUGCAGACGUUAUUUGCUCGGCAUUUUCACGUAUUGAACGUGAAAACAUCACAUUUGCCAUGAUGGAAAUGGUGUUUACCUCGGAUCAUCGGUCAUAACUUUCAGAUCUUAUCAAUGAUGCCUCUACCCUCGGAGCCCUGGCUUGCAGAGAAGUGCUUGCGCUGGUUGAUGACAGGUUGCUUAGAUGGGUCCUUAUUUCCUCGACUGUGCUGCAGUUAUAAAGGACAUUUCUAAAAACUCAGGUGGCUUCUAUAGAGUGUGCAUAAAGGGAAUCAAUGUUCGGUUGGGAGAUUUGAAGAUUGUAAUUUCAUUCACAAAAGCAGUAGGAGGAAUUUUGAAGCAGAUAGUUUAGCUAAGUUUUUGUUGUUUUCAGAUUUUGGUACACAUGUUUGGCUCGUG